AUCAACGAAAAGCAGGAAGAGUUUUAACUCCUGGAAUCAUCUGAGAAACUAUUUCAAACUACAAAUUUAUAUACCCUACUUCUGAAAGUUCUGAUUCAGCAAGUCUUGGGUAGAAGCUGGGAAUCUGUAUGACUACCAAGCUCCCCCAGGUGACUCUGAAUGUGCAGGUAGCGAGUGAAGAAACCACUGGCUCCCAGGGACUGAUCGAGGAACACUUUCUCACAAAGGACCGGCCGACUCGAACAGGGUUCUGUCGUAUCAUGCUUCAGCAGCAGAGGAAGAAACAAGAGAGCUACAGUCGUUAGCGGGCUGCAAAGUCACUGAUAAUACAAAGCAAAAGGCAUUAAAUAACAUACUGACUGUGUAA
rnacentral:sRNA from 1 species